rnacentral:lncRNA from 1 species
AAAUAUGCUCAAUCAUAUCAAUGUACAUUAGAUGCAGAACAAAUUUAUGAAUUAUUUUUCGCUUUCCAGCAAACUUGAAAGUGACCUCUAAUUGUUGUGCAUGAACGACUUCAUCUGUUCACCUACAUCUUCAAAUGAAAGUGAAGGUGAAAGAGAGGGUUUUCUUCGGGACUGAUAUCCAAAAAUCAUUGUUAUCGGUUUGAAAAAGUCAGUUGGUUUGAAAAAGUCAGUUUUUUCAAACAUUGUAUCGAUAUCCUUCCAACGUUUCAAAGAGAUAUUAUACCUUGUCUCCAUGGAAAUAUUUUCAAAUUGAUCAUUCUCAACUAAUUUCCGGUAGUACUUUCUGGAUGCAACAUUUAUACAUGCAUCCAAAUAUUGUGGUAGAUUGUACAGUUCGGCUUCUAUGAUAUUUUCGAUUAUCUGCUGAGAAGAUAAAUGAUCAGAUUCUGUUUCACAUUUUUCCUUCAAAAAUAAAUCUGCUUUCUCAAGUGUUCUUUUAGUCUGAUAUUCAUGCGCAAGAGGAAGUACCUUAUGAACAGUCACAUCUGCAAAA